GACGAACGCUGGCGGCGUGCCUAACACAUGCAAGUCGAGCGGAGUCGAUCGACGGAAGCCUUCGGGCGGAAGAUGGUUGACUUAGCGGCGGAUGGGUGAGUAAUGCGUGGGCAACCUGCCUCGAAGACCGGGAUAACAGCCCGAAAGGGCUGCUAAUACCGGAUGUGGUCAAGGAUCCGCAUGGAUUUUUGAUUAAAGGGGAAACCCGUUUCGAGAUGGGCCCGCGUCCUAUCAGCUAGUUGGUGAGGUAAAAGCUCACCAAGGCGACGACGGGUAGCCGGCCUGAGAGGGUGACCGGCCACACUGGAACUGAGACACGGUCCAGACUCCUACGGGGGGCAGCAGUGGGGAAUCUUCCACAAUGGGCGAAAGCCUGAUGGAGCGACGCCGCGUGAGCGAAGAAGGCCUCGGUUGUAAGACUCUGUCUGGAGGGACGGAAGGAAGUGACGGUACCUCCGGAGGAAGCCACGGCUAACUACGUGCCAGCAGCCGCGGUAAGAGUAGUACA
rnacentral:rRNA from 1 species